UCGGUCUCUCCCACAUGGGGCACCACUGGCAGGAGGAGGACAGCGCUGGUGGGAGCUGCCUUUGCCGCUUCACGCUUCACCGGCUGUCACGCCACAGAUGGAGUUGGAAAAUAGUUUAUUAGUGAAAGUCUUCAGGGUCCCAUUCUGUCCAGCAGGACUGUCCUCCAGGAUGUGUUUGAUAAAAAUGCCCCUCAUCACCUCUCCAUUGCUGAGCCGGCUGCCCAUCCCUCGGCCCCCGACAAUACUGAUACCCAGGGACUUGCCUGGGGCACGGAAGAGCUCGACUCUGAGGAAGCUCUCAAACAGACUGCAAUGAAGCCCGACAGCAGAUGGAGAGAAUGAGAGGAAGGAAACCAAAGAUGGCAGCUUCUUGCCGAAACACCGCCAGCGUGGAAGU